GAGGCCUCUCCUAGGAGUGAUUUGAGGAGAGCUCAGAGAGGCAGCAUUUUAACCCAAGAGGUUGGAGGGAGGGAUCGGAAGCGAGGCUUCCAGAGAACCUGUUUUUGGUGGCUGGAAAAGCCGCAUGUCCACUGGACAGAAUGAAAGCAUGUGAGGCUUUCAAUUACAAAUCAUCCUGGCAUUGGUUCAAAGUGCCCCAACAGCCCCUGGAGCCCUGCGGCUGGGCAGAGCGGCCCACGUGGCUUUUUCGAUCUCCAGGGUGUGACAACGUCGCUGUGGCCUUGGCAGGGAUGGAGGAGGGGCGCUGGGAACACGCUGGAAGACAGGCAUCGUACUGAAAUCAAAUUUACCAGCACACGUAUUCUUGGGUCUUUGCGCAGAUCCAUGGUUCUCAAGUUGCAAAGACAGUGAAUGGAACCCUUCCCUCGACCUCAGCACCCAAAGCCCCGACGGAUCUUUAGAAAAAUGUCUACAUUUCAAACAAAAAGUGAUAACUCGGGCUGCCAAGAUCAUGUUGCUGUGGUGUUGAUUCUUUGCUGAGGAAUGUGCCCAUGAGGUAUCUGUUUACAACACUAAUUGCCAAUGAACAAGUGAGAAAUAGUGCUCUUGGCCAAAAUAUAUUCUGUUGCUAGAAAACAAUACAGCUAAAGUAUUUGUGAAAUUAUCAGAACACAGUCACUUAUUCAUAAUAUUGUACAAGAUGUCCUUGUCCCCAGAAAUGCUCCUAUCCUCAUCCAAGACUGUCUUUAGAAGCAAACGUUUCCCAACAAAAUCGAGUUUUGUUCUCAAUUUGUCUUAACAAGGAAUGACAUAAGUUUACCAGACAAAGGAGUUCCAUUUUUUGUUCCCUGUGUUUAAUCUGUGCAGACAGAAGGCUGUAAAUAUCAUAAGUGGUUGUUGCCGGCUGGCCGUGGAGUGGCCCAGUUCGUUAAGGACCAUGGUUCGCUGGUUUCUUGUAUGGCCUCCAAGGGCCAAGAGAGUGCUUCCCCAUCAUCACUAUGAGGCCUGGUGAACAAAAGCUGGGGCCCAGGAGCCUGUGUGGAUGGAUGGUGUGACCUCUGACCUCCACUAGCGGGGCCUGGAGGGAAAGAGGCAAAGUCAGGCUCCAGUAACGUUUAAUGACAGAUCUUGUUAGGGUUAAAAAAACAGCUCCGGCAUCCAGCUGGGACUUCAUCGGGGGAGGUGCUCAGAGGGCCUUCAGCCGCUGACAGGCACGGGGCCCCAUGCACGGUUGCAACAGGUGCUGGCUAAGCAGUCUUUUUGAUCCUGCCCUUGUCAAGGACCCCCACCUCGUCAGUCUGACUCCACAGGAAGAUUCGUUCUUUUUUUCCCCCUAUUGUCUCCAGCACCUCUGGGUGCUACCGUGAGGUUCUGACAGUGGCGAGGCUCUGAUCCUGGUUUUUCUUUUAUAAAAAUAAUAAUCAGGAUUUUUAUUAAGGAGACCCAAGAGAGUGUUCCAGUCCCUUCCGCCACUUGAAGUUACAGGGAGAGGGCAGCUGUCUAUAACCCAGGAAGUGAGCCCUCACUGGAACCCGGCCACGUGGGCACUUCAGUCUCCAGAACUGUGAGAAAUUCAUGUCUGCUGUGUAUAAGCCACCCUGCGUCUGGUAUUUUUGUUUCAGCAGCCUGGGCUAAGAGGACACGUUAGGUAAAUAUAAGGAGUUGGUAGCGAGGUGUGACUGGUGUUUACCUUGUAAGUCAGAUGGAAUCAGAUGAAGGUCUUGGCUGUAACUCUCCAGUGAAAGAUUCAAGCAAACUUCAGAUUGAGAGUACACCACAAAUGGGAGACCUUCAUUUGCUUCACUUCUGAAUAAUUUCUACCUGGUGUCAUUUCUACCUGGUUGGCACAUCUGAACAGACACCAAUGAUCCAUUUCAUUCACACACACACACACAAACCAAAACCAACCAACCAAACAAAAAACAAUGAGGACGUGGCGUGCCCUUGGUUCCUCUGCAUUUAGCACCACGGUGCUCACUAAUCUUUCCAGCGAUUUGGCAUUUUACUGAGGUAUGGAGUUGAGCAGCCCAGGACCUGGCAUCUGUUGCUUCCUGAAGCAGCACCAGGGCUCCCAAUUUGUUCGUGGGUGCAGUGACUCGGGUCACAAGGAUCGUGCUGUGGAAAUGGACGUAAAGGCAGGGGUGAACUCUGGCACAAGUUGAGUGGGGAGGACCGAGGAUGCGUGGGGAUGGGUGAUUCUGUGGGAAAGGUGAUGCGGGACAAAGCCUGCAUGAGCAUGUCCGUUUCCUGGUAUUUGGGGAUUUCUGAAGGUUUGGAUUUGUUAUUCUGAAAUACCAAGGGUCUCCUAUAAAAAAGAGUGUGACACGUAAAAAAACACUUUUUAUGUUGAGACCAUUAGAGAUUCACAUGCACUUGUAAGAAAUAAUACCGAGAGAUCCUGUGUGCUGCUUACUUAGUUUCUCGCAAAGGAAACAUCUCGAGCACUUACAAGACAAUCCUACAACCAGGAUACAGACAGCAAUACAGUCAAGAUACAGAACAUUCCAUCAGUACAAAGGUCUCUCCUGAUGCCCUUUUAGGGCCAUGCCCACCUCUUCCUCACCCUCAUCCCCUCUUUAAAUCCUUGGUAACCACUCAUUUGUUUUCCAGUUCUGUCAUUUUGUCAUUUUGGAAUGGCAUAUAGGUGGAAUCAUACAGUAUGUGGCCUUUUGGGACUGACUCCUCCCUUUUAGCAUAAUUCAGAGAUUCAUCCAGGCUGUUGUAUGUACCAAUGGUUUGUUUCUUUUUAUUGCUGAGUAAUAUUCCACGGUAUGGGUUUACCACAGUUUGUUCUUCUUUUUUCUUUUUUCUUUUCUUUUCUUUCCUUUCCUUUUCUUUUCUUCUUUUUUUUUUUUUUAACCAGUUAUCCGUUGAAAGACAUCUGAGUUUUUUCCAGUUUUGGAGCUAUUAUGAAUGAAGCUGUUAUAAACAGUUAUAUGCAGGUUUUUGUAUAAUGUAAGUCUUUGAUUCUCUGGGAUAAAUGCCCAAGAAUACAAUUGCUAAGUUUUGGGAUAGUUUAGUUUUAAAAGAAAACUAAGUGCUUAGUUUUGUAAGAAAAUUAAAUGCUUAGUUUCCUCAUAAACUGGCAAAUUGUCUUCAAACUGGCUGUACCAUUUUACACUCCCACCAGUAAUGGAUGAGUGACUCAGUUUCUCCACAUGUAUGUCAGCAUUUGGCAUCAUUGCUGUUUUUUUUUUAUUUAGCUUUUCUGAUAGGUAUUUAGUGACAUCUCAUAUGUGGUUUACUUUCAACUUGCCAAUGUAAUGUUUGAAAUGAGUUUCUUGUUUACAGAACAUAGUUGGAUCAUGCUUGGAAAUCUCCUCUGCUAGCCUCUGUCUUUUCAUUGGUAUAGUUAGACCUUGUACAUUUCACGUAAUUAUUGAUAUAUUAGGGCUGAAGUCUGCCAUUUUAUUUUCUGUUUUCUGUUUGUUCUGUUUUUCAUUUUUCUGCCCUCCUAUGGGUUAUUCAAACAUUUUAAAGAAUUCUGUAGUGAUUUAUCUAUAGUGUUUGAAAGUGUAUCUCUUGUAUAGCUUUUCAGUGGCUGCUCUGGGCAUUACAUAUGGCUGCUUUUAAAUCUUUGUCCAAUAAUUUUAAUAGUUUUCUCAUCAUGGUGGCAUCCUUGAUGGUUUUAUUUCAUCUAGUCAGAGACAUUCCUGGUACUUGGUAGUA